GUGCCAGCCGCCGCGGUAAGACGAACCGUGCAAACGUUAUUCGGAAUCACUGGGCUUAAAGCGCGUGUAGGCGGGCCGGCACGUCGGUCGUUGAAAUCCCCCGGCUCAACCGGGGAAGCGGCGCCGAUACGACCGGCCUCGAGGGACGUAGGGGGGGCUGGAACUUCCGGUGGAGCGGUGAAAUGCGUUGAGAUCGGAAGGAACGCCCGUGGCGAAAGCGAGCCCCUGGACGUCUACUGACGCUGAGACGCGAAAGCCAGGGGAGCGAACGGGAUUAGAAACCCCGGUAGUCC
rnacentral:rRNA from 1 species